GAUGAACGCUAGCGGGAGGCCUAACACAUGCAAGUCGAACGGGAUUGGGAGCUUGCUCCCAUGAGAGUGGCGCACGGGUGAGUAACGCGUAUGCAACCUACCUUUAACUGAGGGAUAGCCCAUAGAAAUGUGGAUUAAUACCUCAUAGUUCUUUUGGCCCGCAUGGGUCGAUAGAUACAGCUCCGGCGGUUAAAGAUGGGAAUGCGUGACAUUAGCUAGUUGGUAAGGUAACGGCUUACCAAGGCUACGAUGUCUAGGGGUUCUGAGAGGAUGAUCCCCCACACUGGUACUGAGACACGGACCAGACUCCUACGGGAGGCAGCAAUGAGGAAUAUUGAUCAAUGGGCGCAAGCCUGAACCAGCCAUCCCGCGUGAAGGAUGAAGGCCCUAUGGGUCGUAAACUUCUUUUAUACUCCAAGAAAAAUCCCCACGUGUGGGGACCCGACGGUAGUGUAUGAAUAAGCAUCGGCUAACUCCGUGCCAGCAGCCGCGGUAACAC
rnacentral:rRNA from 1 species